rnacentral:lncRNA from 1 species
CUGCUAUUCAUUUCCAAUUUCCAGAGCUCUGUAUGAGUUGGCAAAUAUCCAUCAUCCACAAAGGGCCCGGGCUGAUUUUAUCCCCAACAAACUGGUGUCAGAAGUGGGAGCAAUUGGGAACGGAGUUGCAGGUAAGAGGAUCUUUAGCCCCUUGGGGACACAACUUCUGGAAUUUAAGGGAAUCAUGACGGAGUAUUUCUGUCGUGUGUCCUUAGGGGGUUGGGGACCUUUGCCUGCUUCUGCCAUCCUCCCACACAUUGCAUUUCUUGUUUUAAUGGGGUUUUUCACUAUUUACAUUUUUAAAGGGGAUUUACACAGGAUAAUGUCUUUGGUAGACAUGGUAUUUAUAAGUCUUAGGUAGACUUCUAUUACUCCACGGGUUGGAGGAUUGCCUUUGGUAGGCAGUAGCAGUUAUGUGCACAUUUCCUCUUUGGUAAGAGGUUCACCUUUGGC